GAUGAACGCUGGCGGCGUGCUUAACACAUGCAAGUCGAACGAAGCAUUUAAGACAGCUUACUUCGGUUUGAAGUCUUUUAUGACUGAGUGGCGGACGGGUGAGUAACGCGUGGGUAACCUGCCUCAUACAGGGGGAUAGCAGCUGGAAACGGCUGGUAAUACCGCAUAAGCGCACAGUACCACAUGGUACAGUGUGAAAAACUCCGGUGGUAUGAGAUGGACCCGCGUCUGAUUAGCUAGUUGGCGGGGUAACGGCCCACCAAGGCGACGAUCAGUAGCCGAACUGAGAGGGUGGCCGGCCACAUUGGGACUGAGACACGGCCCAGACUCCUACGGGAGGCAGCAGUAGGGAAUAUUGCACAAUGGAGGAAACUCUGAUGCAGCGACGCCGCGUGAGUGAAGAAGUAGUUCGCUAUGUAAAGCUCUAUCAGCAGGGAAGAUAGUGACGGUACCUGACGAAGAAGCUCCGGCUAAAUACGUG
rnacentral:rRNA from 1 species